UUCGCCCUUCGGUUGAUCCUGCCGGACCCGACUGCUAUCAGAGUGGGACUAAGCCAUGCGAGUCAACGUAGCAAUACGUGGCGAACGGCUCAGUAACACGUAGUCAACAUGCCCAGGGGACGUGGAUAACCUCGGGAAACUGAGUAUAAACCGCGAUGGGUCAUGAUUUCUGGAAUGAAUUAUGGCUGAAAUCUAUAUGGCCCCUGGAUUGGACUGCGACCGAUCAGGCUGUUGGUGAGGUAAUGGCCCACCAAACCUGUUACCGGUACGGGCUCUGAGAGGAGGAGCCCGGAGAUGGGCACUGAGACAAGGGCCCAGGCCCUAUGGGGCGCAGCAGGCGCGAAAUCUCUGCAAUAGGCGAAAGCUUGACAGGGUUACUCUGAGUGAUUUCCGCUAAGGAGAUCUUUUGGCACCUCUAAAAAUGGUGCAGAAUAAGGGGUGGGCAAGUCUGGUGUCAGCCGCCGCGGUAAUACCAGCACCCCGAGUGGUCGGGACGAUUAUUGGGCCUAAAGCAUCCGUAGCCGGCCCUGCAAGUCUUCCGUUAAAUCCAUCCGCUCAACGGAUGGGCCGCGGGAGAUACUACAGAGCUAGGAGGCGGGAGAGGCAAGCGGUACUCAGUGGGUAGGGGUAAAAUCCUCUGAUCCACUG
rnacentral:rRNA from 1 species